GACGAACGCUGGCGGCGUGCUUAACACAUGCAAGUCGAAGAUAGUGGCGAACGGGUGAGUAAUACGGGGGUAACCUGCCCUCCUUUUUGGGAUAAGCGUUGGAAACGGGGUCUAAUACCGAAUAAAGGGGGAUGGGCUCGCGGCCUAUCAGCUUGUUGGUGGGGUGAUGGCCUACCAAGGCGGUGACGGGUCGCCGGCCUGAGAGGGUGACUGGCCACGAUGGGACGUAGAUACUGCCCAGGAUCCUACGGGUGGCAGCAGUGGGGGAUAUGGCGCAAUGGGGAACAGCCUGAUGCGGCGAAGCCGAGUGGGGGGUGAAGUCUUUCGGGUUGUACACCUGUGACGCUAUCGAACGGGUAGGUGGAGAAGAAGCGCCGGCUAACUACGUGCCAGCAGCCGCGGUAAUAC
rnacentral:rRNA from 1 species